UUUCCGUAGGUGAACCUGCGGAAGGAUCAUUCAUAAUAAGUGUUUAUGGCACUUUUUUAAAUCCAUAUCCACCUUGUGUGCAAUGUCAGGGUUGAUUUCUCUCUCGAGAGGAUCAGCCCCAAACAUCAACUAUAUCUCAACUCUUUGUCUGAAAAAUAUUAUGAAUAAAACAAUUCAAAAUACAACUUUCAACAACGGAUCUCUUGGCUCUC
rnacentral:misc_RNA from 1 species